UUUUCUACAUUACAAGAUGAGAUUUUAUUCAUUAUUUUCCUACAGGGAAAAAAAAUGAAAUCCCAACUGGAUCGAAAGUGAGGUGCUGGGAGUGGGCCUUUGCACUUUUGUUUCCGAGAACCACUCCAGCCUGUAUGGUAAUACAAGGCCAUUGCAUGCAAACAGAAUAGGGGCAGAGAGACUUGUCGCAGUACAAAAUGUCCUGGAGAGAAAAGACCACCACAAGAGAAGGGAUAAAGAAUGAGGGCUUCAUGGAGAGAGAUCAUGGGGUGCCUCGAGGUUCCAAGUCUUCAUGUUCUGCCCCUUACCUCAAAGCGAUGGCCUCUUGUGCCUAACAAUAUAGGAGCAAAGCACAGUGGACUGGUGCCUGUACAUGUAAUGCAAAGGAAGGGCAGUGUGAGAAGCUCAUGAUGAUAUGGCAGACACAACAAGGACUUUGCUGUCUAAAACUCAGAGGCAAGAUGACAGUGUCUGAACCGGCUUAUCAGAAUUGGUAACAUUGAUGCAAGCGGACUUGUCUGUAGGAGUUGCUGAAGAGGAGCAGUCAGCAUAAGUGGCAUGUGACUCCAAAACAACAUGGGUACCUCUCCCAAGUUCAUUUCUAUCCACAAAGGCUCUUCAGAAAACCAAGAUGUGACGGUGGAGGUAGAGAAGGAGUUUGUGACCCUCCUGAUCCUGAUUAAUUUUAUAAGGAACUUUGUCCGAAAAGAACCUCACUGAUCCUCAGAGUUCCAUACCUCAAGCUGCCCCUCCCCCUCCCCCUCCCUCCCCCCCCCCCACCCCCUGUUUCUGUAAACCCUAACAAUUUAGGGAUCAAAUGAAUUAAAAUCCACACUUGAUUAGUGAUUACAAAUGAA